AUUGAACGCUGGCGGCAUGCCUUACACAUGCAAGUCGAACGGUAACGCGGGGCAACCUGGCGACGAGUGGCGAACGGGUGAGUAAUACAUCGGAACGUGCCCAGUAGUGGGGGAUAGCCCGGCGAAAGCCGGAUUAAUACCGCAUACGACCUACGGGUGAAAGCAGGGGAUCGCAAGACCUUGCGCUAUUGGAGCGGCCGAUGUCAGAUUAGGUUGUUGGUGGGGUAAAAGCCUACCAAGCCGACGAUCUGUAGCUGGUCUGAGAGGACGACCAGCCACACUGGGACUGAGACACGGCCCAGACUCCUACGGGAGGCAGCAGUGGGGAAUUUUGGACAAUGGGCGCAAGCCUGAUCCAGCCAUGCCGCGUGCGGGAA
rnacentral:rRNA from 1 species